GACGAACGCUGGCGGCGCGCUUAACACAUGCAAGUCGAACGGAAAGGCCUGCUUUCCCUUGUGGAUUGCGGGUACUCGAGUGGCGAACGGGUGAGUAACACGUGAGUGAUCUGCCCCCAACUUGGGUAUAAGCCUGGGAAACUGGGUCUAAUUCCCGAUAGGACUGCAGGGUGGUGCCUGUGGUGGAAAACGAUUUUCUAGUGGUUGGGGAUGAGCUCGCGGCCUAUCAGCUUGUUGGUGGGGUAAUGGCCUACCAAGGCGGCGACGGGUAGCCGGCCUGAGAGGGUGGACGGCCACAUUGGGACUGAGAUACGGCCCAGACUCCUACGGGAGGCAGCAGUGGGGAAUAUUGCACAAUGGGCGGAAGCCUGAUGCAGCGACGCCGCGUGGGGGAUGACGGCCUUCGGGUUGUAAACUCCUUUCGACCGCGAGGAAGCCACCUGGUUGGAAGGGUGGUGACGGUAGUGGUAGAGGAAGCACCGGCUAACUACGUG
rnacentral:rRNA from 1 species